UACGUAGGUGGCAAGCGUUGUCCGGAUUUACUGGGCGUAAAGAGCGCGCAGGCGGUCGUUCAAGUCGCGUGUGAAAGCCCCCGGCUCAACUGGGGAGGGUCACGCGAUACUGAUCGACUGGAAGGCAGGAGAGGAUAGCGGAAUUCCCAGUGUAGAGGUGAAAUUCGUAGAUAUUGGGAAGAACACCGGUGGCGAAGGCGGCUAUCUGGACCGACAUUGACGCUGAGGCGCGAAAGCGUGGGGAGCAAACAGG
rnacentral:rRNA from 1 species